GGAAGAAUCAAAUGGCAACUCUUGUGUCUUCACAAGGUUUUAUCAGUGAACCUUUAACAAAAUACACCAAACAGCUUAUAAGUAAUUUUCCAGAUUCUCUUAGUGUUUGCUAUCUGGUAAACUCAGGUGCUCCAUCUAGAAGACAAACAGCCUUGGAGAUGUGUACACCCUUGACUCAGCUCUACUUUUACACCAAACCUCUCACUCUCCAACAUUCUUUGCUUUUGUUAUGAAAAAUCAUAACAAUCACUGCUUGUAUGAAAAUUAUAUCAUGAGAUAUUUGUUAGGGCCUGAGAUAUUUGUUUGGGCCACAUGUACCAUGUGCAGCUUUUUCACUUUACUUUCAGACUUCACACAAUUGUUUCUUAAGAAUUUUAUGAAAACCUUGUUUCCACAUAAAAACACUACGUUUCUUGAGUGUUCUAUGGUUGUUGUUACUUUUUUGUCUGUUUUGUUAUAGAUUUUGUACAUUCUGCUUCCUUUUCCAAACAUUUACUUUUCUUUCCUGAUCAAUCUUGUUAUUUGUCUUGCUCUAUCAGUAAAAAUCAUGCCAUUCAUGUUAACCCACUAAAACUUUUACAAUCAUCUUUGGCAUUUUACCCAUACAUAGAUCGAUAAUUUCUUUUUUUUGGAGCCUUUUCCUUUUUCAGCCUCCACAUUAUUAUAAGCCACUCAUUUACAUUACUACUGCUGUACUGUAGCAUCAAACCUGCAUUUCUAUCAAUUAUGGUGUCCUUCCCUGGAUUCAACCUCUUAAUCAUCAUUUGUACAUCCUCAACAGUCACUUCAAUAAGCAUUCUCAAACUUUCAAUUUAGCCUUUACUCAUGCUGGUACUAGCUGUAUCUUAGAAUUUUAGUGUUCAUAAAUUCCUUCCACUUUUGCAUUUUCAAGUGGAGCAUAUUUUUUCAUCCUUUUUCUCCUUUUAAUGCUCUUCCUUUAAACUUCUUAUCUAACUCACUUGUUUUAGUUAUGCUUGUUCCUUUAUGUUCUGUAUGGAUAUACCUUGGCAAAAGUUGGUCUGGAUCUUGAAAUACAUAGUAAGGUAAUUAACCAGCAGCAAAUGAGUUAAGAGUGGAGCACAAUCCACUCUCUUGACUCAUCAGCACUUUUUCUUCAGCUGAACUGCUAUUCAGAUGCUUUCACCACUGCCGGACAUCUUACAUGACUACUGUAGUUGUUGCACUUAAUUUCCGACUUGUCUUUUAGUAAAGUGUGAUAUCCUUGUAUGAACAAUGAGACUUGAUGCUUUUUCUGUGAGGAAGUUUGAUCAUCAGUGUUCAGGUUGUGACUUAAGUGUUUGCUUGUUUAAGUCCUCUGUAGAUAUUAACCCUUAUUCUGUAUACUCUUUUUGUAUAGGACGAGUACUAUAUGCUAUCACUGAACCGUGUAUAGUCUUUGUUACCUUCUGUAUAGAAGUACUGAUUUUAGAGGAAGAAAUUGAAUAAAAUACUGAUGGUGUCUUCUGGGGGCAACAAUGGUACUGAUCCAUUACCACUGGUUUGGUCCAGGGAUGGUAUGCUUAGACUGGAUGAUGACCAACCUGGAUGCUCCUGGGAUGAGAAGUUUGAUGGCGCGAUGGCUGUUACUGGUACUUUCGUGGAAUGUUUUUACAAUUCCAUAUCUGCUACUUUUUAGCUAACCACUCUGUAGCAUCCUAAUGAGACUAGAGAGUUAACUGAAGAUGCCUUAGCAUUUACAGAACUCAACUGACACUUCUGCAUUAGUAGUAGCAUCCUCUGUUGAUGCUUUUGCAGCUCCCAUUACUCUUCUGUCCAUUUUAGAAUGCCUUCCUCUACUCAGUCCUUGGUGGACCUGAUAGAGGUUGGAGAGCUUAUGGUCAAAGAAGCAUGAUGUGUUAUGUCCGCCUCUCCCCCCUCCUCCUACGCUUGCCUCUUAGGUGUCCCCACCUCUUGAGUGGUGGAAGUGUAAGGAGAAGGUCUGAAAGGCAACCCUCCACAAGAACACUAAGAAGUCUUUACAAAGACAUUUGUUCUUUUUGGAGUGACAACUAUGUAUCUCUGUACCUAUUUACAGGAACAGAUGACCAUGGUUAAAUCUGGUCACAAAAUUUCUCAUGUUCAAUCUCCAGUACUGACACAUGCUUGUUCCUGAUUGCCUUCUCAGGAGAGGAGGGCUGACCCAGAUUCUUCCUGUGCUCAACCCCUCACAGAGGUGGAAAGGAAGAGUCCAUGUUCCCCCACACUAUCAACUAUUCUGGUUACUUGAAACUGGAUGAGUAAGCCCCAGACAUGUUUAUGACCAACUCAUAAGCUUUGUACUGUCCCAGAUUGUCUAUGGUCAAUACUGCAGAACACAGGACCAGAAGUGCAGCUUUGUGCUCACUUAGAUGGCUUCCUUUAUGUAUGCCCUCCAGUUAUGGUUACGUUUGCAUUGUAAGUUAACCUUAAUGUCUCCGUAUACUAGAUCACAACCACAUAGGUCAUCCUUCAAAAUCUUCUAUGAUGGCGAGGUUAUAAUAUACUUCAAGGACUCUUCUUUGGUACUACCCAAUUUCUAGCAUGUGAUGUUCUUAAAUUUUAAAUGUAUAAUCAAGGGCUGAGAUGCUUACUUGUUGGAUUCCUAGGCAAAAGGAGCAUGGUCCAUGUUAUCUUCUAUUUACCCUAAUAAAGUGAUUCACCUUCUUUC